rnacentral:lncRNA from 10 species
CUUCAUCCUGCCGCCCUGUGAAGGUGCCUGCUUCUCCUUUGCCUUCUGCCAUGAUUGUCCCUCUCAUUGACUGACUCUGACUAUCUCCUGUAAAAUUCAAAUUGCCCUGUGGCAACUGACAUAAAUUCUACCUACUUGUGACUCACUGGGAACACCAGAAUUCCUACGUAAGGAAUUGUCAUGGACUUCAGUCUCUCACUGAAAAUGAGGGAAAAUAAAAGGCAGGCAGAGCCCGGCAAGAAAGCCUGGACAGUGAAGGCUCCACCCCGUGGGCAUUAACCCUGGAUGUGCCCCGUCUCCCAGGCAGGGGACCCCGGCUCCAGGAUAUGCACAACCUGCGGAAACAGAGAUGGAUGAGCCCCACACUCCCCAGGAAUCCCCGUCCCAGGACUGAGCCACCAGAGCCUGAGUUACGGGCACACUCCUCUUGGAGUCCUCAGGCACCACUCUGCUGCCUUUGUAUGACCUUAGGAAAGUUGCUUACUCCUGCUCUGCCUCAGUUUACCCAUCUGUGAAAUAAGGCUAAUAAUAUUUCCUGACCUUGAAG